AGAUUGAACGCUGGCGGCAGGCCUAACACAUGCAAGUCGAACGGUAACAGGAAGCAGCUUGCUGCUUUGCUGACGAGUGGCGGACGGGUGAGUAAUGUCUGGGAAACUGCCUGAUGGAGGGGGAUAACUACUGGAAACGGUAGCUAAUACCGCAUAACGUCGCAAGACCAAAGAGGGGGACCUUCGGGCCUCUUGCCAUCGGAUGUGCCCAGAUGGGAUUAGCUAGUAGGUGGGGUAACGGCUCACCUAGGCGACGAUCCCUAGCUGGUCUGAGAGGAUGACCAGCCACACUGGAACUGAGACACGGUCCAGACUCCUACGGGAGGCAGCAGUGGGGAAUAUUGCACAAUGGGCGCAAGCCUGAUGCAGCCAUGCCGCGUGUAUGAAGAAGGCCUUCGGGUUGUAAAGUACUUUCAGCGGGGAGGAAGGGAGUAAAGUUAAUACCUUUGCUCAUUGACGUUACCCGCAGAAGAAGCACCGGCUAACUCCGUGCCAGCAGCCGCGGUAAUACGGAGGGUGCAAGCGUUAAUCGGAAUUACUGGGCGUAAAGCGCACGCAGGCGGUUUGUUAAGUCAGAUGUGAAAUCCCCGGGCUCAACCUGGGAACUGCAUCUGAUACUGGCAAGCUUGAGUCUCGUAGAGGGGGGUAGAAUUCCAGGUGUAGCGGUGAAAUGCGUAGAGAUCUGGAGGAAUACCGGUGGCCAAGGCGGCCCCCUGGACGAAAACUGACGCUCAAGUGCGAAAGCGUGGGGGGGCAAACAGGAUUAGAUACCGUGGUAGUUCACGCCGUAAACGAUGUCGACUUGGAGGUUGUGCCCUUGAGGCGUGGCUUUCGGAGGUAACGCGUUAAGUUGUCCGCCUGGGGAGUACGGCCGCAAGGUUAAAACUCAAAUGAAUUGACGGGGGCCCGCACAAGCGGUGGAGCAUGUGGUUUAAUUCGAUGCAACGCGAAGAACCUUACCUGGUCUUGACAUCCACGGAAGUUUUCAGAGAUGAGAAUGUGCCUUCGGGAGCCGUGAGACAGGUGCUGCAUGGCUGUCGUCAGCUCGUGUUGUGAAAUGUUGGGUUAAGUCCCGCAACGAGCGCAACCCUUAUCCUUUGUUGCCAGCGGUCCGGCCGGGAACUCAAAGGAGACUGCCAGUGAUAAACUGGAGGAAGGUGGGGAUGACGUCAAGUCAUCAUGGCCCUUACGACCAGGGCUACACACGUGCUACAAUGGCGCAUACAAAGAGAAGCGACCUCGCGAGAGCAAGCGGACCUCAUAAAGUGCGUCGUAGUCCGGAUUGGAGUCUGCAACUCGACUCCAUGAAGUCGGAAUCGCUAGUAAUCGUGGAUCAGAAUGCCACGGUGAAUACGUUCCCGGGCCUUGUACACACCGCCCGUCACACCAUGGGAGUGGGUUGCAAAAGAAGUAGGUAGCUUAACCUUCGGGAGGGCGCUUACCA
rnacentral:rRNA from 1 species